GCAGAGGUGGCGGAACGGCAGACGCGCACGGUUCAGGUCCGUGUGCCGGUGACGGCGUGAGGGUUCAAAUCCCUUUCUCUGCA
rnacentral:tRNA from 1 species